rnacentral:rRNA from 1 species
ACUCAAAGGAAUUGACGGGGGCCCGCACAAGCGGUGGAGCAUGUGGUUCAAUUCGACGCAACGCGAAGAACCUUACCUGGGCUCGAACGGCUAUAGACUGUCUGUGGAAACAUGGGCUUUCCCUUCGGGGACUGUAGUCGAGGUGCUGCAUGGCUGUCGUCAGCUCGUGUCGUGAGAUGUUGGGUUAAGUCCCGCAACGAGCGCAACCCUUGUCCUGUGUUGCCACUCCCAAAAGGAAGCACUCUCAGGAGACCGCCAGCGACAAGCUGGAGGAAGGUGGGGAUGACGUCAAGUCAUCAUGGCCUUUAUGUCCAGGGCUACACACGUGCUACAAUGGCCGGUACAAAGCGCUGCAAACCCGCGAGGGGGAGCCAAUCGCAAAAAACCGGUCUCAGUUCGGAUUGCAGGCUGCAACUCGCCUGCAUGAAGCUGGAAUCGCUAGUAAUGGUAUAUCAGAACGAUACCGUGAAUACGUUCCCGGGCCUUGUACACACCGCCCGU